rnacentral:lncRNA from 1 species
UAGGGAUGCCCUCGCUACACUUGAACCCUUUCAUUUAUCAUUCUUAAUUAUGGGCCGUCCUCAUAUCCUAUCCGAUAUUAGCGUCAAUUUACCAAACCUCAAUAUCCCGUCUGGUAUGAGAGUGAAGCGGGCCGUCCCCAUAUCCCGUCUGGUAUGAGCACCAAAUUAUCAAGUCUCCAUACCCCGUUCAGUAUGAGAGAAUGUUCACGGUAGGGUUUUCUAUGUACCCGGUCCAUCCACCAUCUCCCAGGAUAUCCAGUAAGACUGUCUUUUCAUUUAAUCAUUU